rnacentral:rRNA from 1 species
AUUGAACGCUGGCGGCAUGCCUUACACAUGCAAGUCGAACGGUAACAGGUCUUCGGAUGCUGACGAGUGGCGAACGGGUGAGUAAUACAUCGGAACGUGCCUAGUAGUGGGGGAUAACUACUCGAAAGAGUGGCUAAUACCGCAUGAGAUCUACGGAUGAAAGCAGGGGAUCGCAAGACCUUGUGCUACUAGAGCGGCCGAUGGCAGAUUAGGUAGUUGGUGGGAUAAAAGCUUACCAAGCCGACGAUCUGUAGCUGGUCUGAGAGGACGAUCAGGCACACUGGGACUGGGAAACGGCCCAGACUCCCACGGGAGGCAGCAGGGGGGAAUUUUGGACAAUGGGCGCAAGCCUGAUCCAGCAAUGCCGCGUGCAGGAUGAAGGCCUUCGGGUUGUAAACUGCUUUUGUACGGAACGAAAAGCCCCGGGUUAAUACCCUGGGGUCAUGACGGUACCGUAAGAAUAAGCACCGGCUAACUACGUGCCAGCCGCCGCCGUAA